rnacentral:tRNA from 1 species
GGAGAGAUGGCUGAGCGGUUGAAAGCGCACGCCUCGAAAGCGUGUGACCUCUAACGGGGUCCCUGGGUUCAAAUCCCAGUCUCUCCGCCA